GAGACCUGAACAUAUCUGUCCACCAACGGAACAGACGUUGAGAGGAUCUGCAGAGAAGAAGCAGCAGAGAAACCCCAAAUCCAGAAGAACCAUCAUCAUCAUCAUCAUGAUCCUCAUCAGGACAAUCCAGUGACCCGUGACCCGGAGGAGCAGACGGUCGAGCUGCAUCGAGACCCUGAUGAGCCUCAUGUGAGGUUACCAGAGAUGAAGCGGUUUUCCCCUCCUCCUCAUCCUCCUCCUCCUCCUCCAAGCGCCUCGAACACGAAGUGACAAGAACAAAUGAAACAAACCCAUAGAUAAAGUUAAUUCUCACCUUCACACGUGACGUGGACUCUUCUCCUCCUCUGUCGUUGCUGCUGUUUCUUCUCUUCUAUCUGCUCAUGAUGAUCCGAGACGAGGGCGGAGAGGAUGUGGAGUGUUGACAGAACAGCAGCCGCACAACGGUCAGUUCCUCUAUCUGACAGGAUGAGGAAGUAAAAGUUCACUUGCGUUACAAUCAUAAAAAAGAAAAAAAAAAGAGGCCGGAAGAAAAAAAAGAAAAAAAGGACCGUAUCUAUGCAAAGUAGGCGACGCACUGCGCAAGUGACACUGCACCGCUUUGACCUGAGGGAGGAUGAGGGGCAGAAAUACACUUAAUGGAUUAUAGAUUAUUACUGUAAUAGAUUAUUUCAUUCCCUUCAAAUGAGCCCAGAUACAAAGUAUAGAUUAUGGAGGGAGACAUUGAGGUCUGCACCUGCAGGAACAGUUUUAAAAAGUGUACAUGAAAAAUAAAAACAUUUUAAUGAAGCUCAUUGUUACUUAUCAUAUAAACAAGAUAUUAACCGGAUCACAAGGCGAAUAUCUUCAAAAGUUACAUGUUUAACAUGAAUAUUUCCAUGGUGGUUGAUGAUGUAAUAAUGAACAUGUGGAUACUUCAGUAAUUAAUGGAAAUAUUUAGGUAUUUAGGUCCAUUGUCUUAUGUGUUCUGUGUAUACCAGACAGUUGCUGCUCAAUAUGAAACAAACAUUAAAUCUGUUAUCUCUUAUACGAGAUAAAUUUGAAUCAUUGUAGAAAAAAAACAUUUAUUCCAA